rnacentral:rRNA from 1 species
GACGGAGGAUGCAAGCGUUAUCCGGAAUGAUUGGGCGUAAAGCGUUCGCAGGCGGCAGUUCAAGUCUGCUGUCAAAGACCGGGGCUUAACUUCGGAAAGGCAGUGGAAACUGAACAGCUAGAGUAUGGUAGGGGCGGAGGGAAUUCCUGGUGUAGCGGUGAAAUGCGUAGAGAUCAGGAAGAACAUCGGUGGCGAAGGCGCUCUGCUGGGCCAUAACUGACGCUCAGGGACGAAAGCUAGGGGAGCGAAUGGG